rnacentral:lncRNA from 1 species
AUGAAAUUAAUUCUUUGCUGGGUAUUAAAAAUUGCGAGUUUUAAACUGAUGCAAAAUAUUUACACGAGUUUGUGGCGAAAUAUAAAAAACAAGGUACUGUAUAUACAAAGAAGUUCUACCUUUUGUCCUUUAGUUUCCAUUCUAAAUUCUUCCUACUUUCAGAGAAUUUUUUCCCCCAAAGAAACCGUGCCGAUCUACCCCUCCCCUGCGCUGGUACUCUGGACUUUUCCCCAUCCUGGCACCUUUCCUGAGAACUCACUCGGAACGGUCUUCCUCGUUGCUUUUCUUCCUUCCCUCCGUCCUCCCACUUCCUGCCUGGGCCGACCGCGCGGGCCGCGGGCCGCACCUGCAGGACGCGUUUCCAUUGGUGACAUCUUGGCGGGCCCAUCGGUGGCACUUCCUCCUUUACACCCCGUGACCCACGUCCGGCCCGCCGCCCUCAGUCACGCGGCCUCUGCCUCCGGGACGCAGCCCCGCGCGUCGGCCUUCCGGACUCCGGACCCGUCGUGGCCAAUAACAAAAGGAGUCGCACCUGGACCUUGCCCGGAGCCUUCUGCGUUUUUAAGCGUCGGGUGGAAUUAGGGGUCCUUUGGCUGUAAACUGCGUUUGUUUGGUGAAAAUAGAAAUCAGUCCUGAUCCCCUCAGCG